ACUUCAAAUCCAGAUUGAGCACGUCGUCGGGCAGGUUCGA
rnacentral:tRNA from 13 species